rnacentral:rRNA from 1 species
UACAGAGGCCACAAGCGUUUAGGCGGAAUCACUGGGCUUAAAGCGUGUGUAGGCGGGUUGGUAAGUACCUUGUGAAAUCCCACGGCUUAACCGUGGAAUUGCUUGGUAUACUGCCGAUCUUGAGUCAUCUAGGGGCAGCCGGAACGGAUGGUGGAGCGGUGAAAUGCGUAGAUAUCAUCCGGAACGCCAAUGGUGCAGACAGGCUGCUGGGGGAUGAACUGACGCUGAGGCACGAAAGCCAGGGGAGCGAACGGGG